AGUCUGCGGGCGGGAGGGUGCCGGCGAGGUGGUGAGGGCGGCGGGGGCGGGGGCGCAGCAGCCCCGGCCAGGCCCGGAGACCGCGGGGUACCCCCUCCCUGCGCUCCAACACCCGCAACUUCCUGCCGCCCGGGACGGAGUUUCUCUGUUACCCGCGGACACCCAGGAGGCGGUGUGGAGGGAAACAGGGUACCCCCCGCUCCUAGCCUACAUCCAUCCAAGGGGAGCCCGAGGAGGCAGCAGGUCCGGACUCGCUGAGGAGGCUCCGCGCGGGGCCUCCCACGCACAGGGGAGAGGCCUAAGGGAAGCACUCUACAACGUAGACCAACGGCCUGGCCAGGCAGGGGAAGCUGGAGCAGACACUGAGGGACACUGAGGACCUCCCUCCACACACCAGCUCAUGUUUUUAUGUCUGUCAGGGAUCAGGAGGAAGGCAGGAGCCGAGCUGGGCCAGCGGCUAUCUCCAGGCGGCCUCUGCUCAUGAGCGGGCAGACAGCUCUUCCUUGCAAGAGGCCAGCCGACCUGAGCUGGGACGGGGCUGAGAAGCCGAAACCAUCCAACGCAGCACCUUCCUGUUCACCCAGCUCGGGACCUCUCCGCUCUCUGUGGCUGGGGACUCAGGGACCUCCAGGUAGAGUGGGGAAGACUCCAAGAAGCUUUGUACCUUCGUUCUGGGAGCAAAGGAAAACUUAGGAACGGUCACUGUAGUUGUUUAAGACCAUAGAGAUUGGGGCAGGUGGGACGGUCCAAAUGGAGCUGCCCGGGCCUCUACCUUCCUUCAUCAGCAGCUGAAGUGACCAAUAUCCGUGCCUUAUGCCCAAGGAUGUCCGGUAACAGCAUCUUCCUGGGGUCUUGGUGAGUUCACAGGGGAAUUGAGUGUUCGGAUGCUGUGGAAUUCCUGGGGUGGCUGAAUCCUAGGCAUAGCAGGAGAGCAUAACAUCCUCCCAGAGCUCCCAGCUGCGUCACACACCCGGGCACACAGCCGCUCUGCUCCCUGCCAGCCUGCCAGAUAAGGGUGAGACUGGCAUGCCUGCCACCUGGCUCCUGCAGGCUCCCGAGGCCCUGCCUCUCCCCACUCCCUGCCUCCUCACUCCCCCUUUCCAGGUCCUGUCGGCAGAUGAGGCCCCUCCGAAACCUCUCCACAGCUGUCUCCUUUGGGUCUUUUUGCGGUCUGGGCUUGCUGUUCUCUCGACAGUAGUCAGGAAGCCCUUACCCCAAAAAGUAUCUGCGGGAGGCUUGGUCUGCAGGAGAGACCCUCAAGGGCUCCUUGAGUCAGGUGAGUCACACAGAACCCCAGGAUUACAGCGUGGAUCCAGAGCACUGUUGCCAUGCCUUAGUGUUGCUGGGUGAGCACAGGUGAAGCCCUCGCCCCAGGGUCUCCACCUUCCUAAUGCUGUGGCCCUUUACCACAGCUCCUCAGGUUGCGGUGACACCCUCUACCAUCAAAUUAUUUGUAACUGUAACUGUCUACUGUGAAUCAUAACUAUCUGACAUGCGACCCCAAGGGAUCGUGAGGACUUUCUGUGCCCUGGUGACCUGAUACCUUUCAUCCUUGCCUGGUAGGCAGUUUAGUAGGAGUGGCCCCAGUCAAGGCCAGAGAAGGCCACGUGGGUGGAUGCUGCUGGCUACCACGGGCACUCCUGGCAGGGCUGUCACUCGGCAUGUCCAGCCCUCCCGUGGGUCGCGCAGACGUGAGAUCCCGGACAGGCCUGGCUGCUGGAAUCCUGUGCAGAGGGGCCUGUGACCGGGAACACCAUGGUUGACGGGGGUUGAUUCCAGUAGCUGAGCGACAAGAAGCUGGUGAGCUUCUGUGGCAGAAAGAGGUGCCGGGCGUCUGCCCUCCCUCAGCCCGAGUCAGUCCACAACCUCCUUGACUGCUCACAUUACUAAUCUCUAAUCCAGGGCCAUCUAGAGGGGGGAGGGAAGAUUGCACACACUGGAGAAAAGAGGCCGACUUGGAAAUCUAAGUCAUCCUCCUUAGAGGAGGCCACGGGGGUACGUGGAGCAGGGCUGUAAAAUCCAAGCGAAGUUUCUAAAGGUGAGCGCCAUGUUGGGAAAAAGAGCAGUGGACCGACACAGCAUAGAAAGAUUUAAAAUCACCACGUCCAGGCUGCAAAGAUGGCUCAGAGGUUAAGAGCACUGGCUGCUCUUCCAGAGGUCCUGAGUCCAGUUCCCAGUGCCCACAUGGUGGCUCACAGCCAUCUAUAGUGAGAUCUGCUGCCCUCUUGUGGCGUGUAUACAUAAGAAAUAUCUCCUCGGUUUCCAAAGGUAGUAAGGACAGGUGAUAUCAACUGCAGGUGGCCCCUGCCAGUUUGAGGGAGCUAGGUAGAACUCUGCAGUUGUGGUGAGGCCACAGCCCAGCAGGGAUGGCCAAAUGGGUACCAUCUCACUCCUCUUCUCCCCCCUCCCACCUCUGUGCUGCCUGGCCUGGAGGAGGCCAGGCUCCGUGCCCUUCCUUACCUGGAUCUCUCUGCUCCCUACACCCAGGGUCUGGGUCCUGGGGCAGCCCUGGGCGAGGAAUAUGGUGUCAAUCUCACUGUUAACAAAGCCACAGAUCUUGAGAAACAAAGGCCCCCGAAGGUUCUGUCCCUGUUCAGAAGCACGGGGGGCAAUUCUAAGGUGACGAGUGAGCUGAUAGAGAACCUCGCUGAGUUCAAGGGUGCCAAGGGCUCCUGGAUGGGGCCGGGAGUGCGCUGCGGCGCUUUAGUGGGGCAGACGCCCCCACCUGGACACAGGAAGACAUCACGUUACAGGGCUGACUCACCUUGUGAGCGCAGGAUGCUCACAAGGGCCCUCGUGGGCCCUGAUGCUCCCUGACCACCCAGUUCUGGCCCCAACAAAGCAGGCUUGCUGGGCGCCGUCCCCAGCGCGCGGGAGGGCAUGGCGUACAUGGCCCAAGGGCGGCAUCGUGCGGUCAUGGUGGGUACUUCACCCUACAUCCACAUCCUCCAUUGAGGGAGGGUGUUACCUGGCGCCGGAGGACCACAGUCUUUCCCAGCAGAUUAGGAAUUUCUGUACCACGCAGUCCCACCCCAACGGCACAGAGCCUGGGGCAGUGGGAGUGGGCGGGAAAGGGUGCUAGUGUGAGGUUCCCUUUAAGUGAGUCUGUUUACAGCUUGCUCAUCACCUGGGAGAACUCACCUCUCAAAAUGGGUGUCUAGGUUCACAGCCUGGACGUUUGGCUGCCCCUUGCUUCUCAGCCCACAGUUCUGCCCCCUCGGGAAAACUGUUCCCAUUACAGAGCAUCUUUCAGGAAAGAUCUCAUCCCCCAACGUCCAUAGGAAGAACCUGGACUUCUGAGUUGGUCAGAGCUGUCUUCCAGUACUAGUUGUGUGCUCCCAGGAAAGCCCUUGACCCUCCCCUCUGUGCUUCAGUUUCCCCAUCCACAAAACUGGGGUAAUAACACCUUCAUGUCAGCUCUAGGGUGGGCUCUGCUGACCACCUGUGUAUCUGUGUAUAGCUGUCUUUCUGUGUGUGUGUGUGUGUGUGUGUGUGUGUGUGUGUGUGUGUGUGUGCUGGAACCAGCCAUGGGUGCUCACCUCUGCCUCAGCAUCCAGACAGAACAGAGGUUUGCUGUUUAGGACACAGCACGGAAGGCGGCCCUGCCCUCGGGGAGCUGCCGAAGGCAGAGGGCGCUGUUCUACUGUAGUUCCUGGAGUAGCCGUGUCCUACGGAGCCGGGAGGGCUAGCUGUCCAGCUGGAGAAGCAGAGCCUGAAGGGGCCUGUCCCCGCCGUGGGUCAUCGGGGCUGGGGAGAGGACAGAGGGGCACAGAAGAGGCUGAGAGAAUCAAGAAGGAAAGGGAAGGACAAGCAACAUGGGAAGUCUCUCCGCAUGGCUAAUGUGCCCCUGUCAGGGGUUCAGGGUGCUUCUGGGGCACCUAGGCAGGGUGCCCCUCUCCAGGAACUUGAAGGCUAGAAUCUGCUCUGGAGGACUGCGUAGGGUGUCUCUGCAACCCACGUGCCCCUUCUAACAGGCAAGCAGGACCAGGGCCCCACACUAACAGGAGAAUGGGGGCUGCUGCAGUGUGAGACGGGUUUGCAGGUAGUGAAGGAAGGCACCUGAGACCAUCUGGGAUGGUAGAGAGGUCAGCAGCCAUGAAGAAGCCUAAGGGUGUCUGGGAAGUCGUCUGGAGCGGAAAGACAUCAAAGCAGCUGGGGUUCUCACUGCCCGUAGCCUGACAACAUUCACCCUGCAAAGCAACCUGCUCCCAGAAGCUCUGUUCAGCACCCCCUCCCCACCUUCCCAUGAGCCUGUCUUCACCUCUUCAGUCUGCAAACUCUCUCUGUUGCUCCCCAAGAUAGCCUGGUCCAGCGGGACCUGGAGGAGGGGGUCCAGCGGGACCUGGAGGAGGGGGUCUGUGACAGAGUGAACACAGAAGACUCUGGCGGUCACAUGUAGGGGACUCCACAGGUGUCACUGUGCUUUCGCUUUUACAUUUUCACCCUAAGUCUUGAGGCAGUUGCUGACCGAGGUCAGACAAAUCUUUCUCCUGAACCCUUGCUUCCCUCUCUGUCCUUUCCUCUCUUCCUUCUCCCUCCUCCUCUCCUUUUUCUUUCCUCUUUCUUUCCCAGAGUCUGUGCCUUGACCAGCCGGAAAUCAUCUCAGAUCUGUUACUGCCCUUCAAGGCUUCCUGGGGUCCAGUGCUCACCCAUCCUGGAGGCUGCGCCUUCAGGGGUGUGGUCAGGGCAUCCCUGAUGGGAGCAGAGCCUGUAAACAGUGGUCCAGGACGCGGCUCCUUUGCUGAAAUAUCAAGAAGCCCCCUUUGAGCUGCUUCAGCAUUCAGGCUGCAGGGUCGCUCACACACCAGGGCUCAGUCUUCCGGAGAAGAGGCUCUCAAGGGCCUCUCGGAGGUUGAGCGUCCCCGGGGCUGCUGGCAGGGGCUGCAGUUGGGUGAUUGGGGGCAUUUUGUUGGUUUUGUUUGUUUGUUUUGUUAUGUCUUCAGAGACCUUUUGUUCAACAGUUUUCAGCACUUGAUGCCUCCAUCUGGAAUCAAAGGUAGAACCCAGAACCAUCACAAGAAGCUUCCCCCAACCCCAUACUUGAGUGUAGAAGCCAUUGUUCUGGGGUUCAGCUUUGGUGGAAUCGUGGAAGAGGAGCCCUGGGUCUGACACUUGGCUGAAUGGCUAAGGAAACACUAGGGAAGACAGAGGAAGAAGAGCGAAAAAGCCAGGACUUCCCUCCGGGUGGAGAAGCGGCUGGCGGGCUUAGAACGCAGACGCUGGUGCCGCCCGCCCGUGACUGUUGGGGUGGUUGGUGCAGCCCGUGUUCUCAUUUCCACCUCACAUCUAAAGGAAAGAGCUAGGAUCAGUUUCCGUGAGCCUCAGGAGCAGGAUAGCAGGAGCCUCAGCAUAGUUGUCUGGUGUGUGUGGGGGGUGCUUUGGGUGUCCAUUUCUGCAGCAGAGAGGAACCCAUGGUCCUCCGUUACCAUGAGCCUGUCCUGUAAGCAUGUGGGAAGUGCUGGGGGUCAUUGCGCCAUGUUCGUCCUUUCUUCCCUCUCAGUUCUGAUGUACUUCAACCCUAAAGGAAAAUACAAGGAGAGAAAGAGCAGGGGCCCACCUGCCUCCAAGAAAUGGCAGGUGCUAACAUUCUGCUGCAUUUACAUCAGAUUCUUAAAAAGACAAAAAACAAAACAGAAAGACCUGAAAUGCCGCCGAAGUCCCUCUGUGCCUGCUUCUCUCUCCAAAUGCCCAGCCACUAUCCUGCAAUCAGUGGACAUUUUCUCAUACGCGCUCACCCGAUAUCACUCAUAAAUCACAGCUGGCGGCACUCUGAGCGCUUUUUAGCUUACGUAAGUGGUGUCAGAGUGACCCUAUCGUUUGAGAACUUGCUGUUUUUUUAAAUUUAGUAUUGUGUUUUCAAGUGCACUCAUUUUAACUUCUGGACAACUGGACAGAACAGGAAAAUCACAGUUUGUGCUCUCACUCCUCCCCACCCCCUGCCCCAUGGACGUUGCAGCCUGCUGCCGUCUGGAUACAGUUUGUUCCUUUUGAAACCUGUGUUGACAUUUGAUUGCCGUCACGUCAGUGUUCACAGGGCCCUCUAUCCUCCUGAAUGGACUGAUCCACUCAUGGAUUAAUAGAGUAACUUAAGAAUGACUUCCUUGGGCUGGAGAGACGGCUCAGAGGUUAAGAGCACUGGCUGUUCUUCCAGAGGUCCUGAGUUCAAUUCCCAGCAACCACACGGUGGCUCCCAACCAUCGGUAAUGAGAUCUGGUGCCCCCUUCUGGCCUACAGGCACAUAU